rnacentral:rRNA from 1 species
UACGUAGGUGGCAAGCGUUGUCCGGAUUUAUUGGGUUUAAAGGGUGCGUAGGCGGCCCUGUAAGUCAGUGCUGAAAUAUCCCAGCUUAACUGGGAGGGUGGUAUUGAUACUGCGGGGCUAGAGUACAGAUGAGGUAGGCGGAAUUGACGGUGUAGCGGUGAAAUGCUUAGAUAUCGUCAAGAACACCUAUAGCGAAGGCAGCUUACUAGGCUGUAACUGACGCUGAGGCACGAAAGUGUGGGGAUCAAACAGG